GACAGAGGCCUCGAGCGUUAGGCGGAAUCACUGGGCUUAAAGCGUGCGCAGGCGGUUUGCUAAGACAGGUGUGAAAUCCCCGGGCUUAACCUGGGAACUGCGCUUGUAACUGGCAAGCUAGAGUGUGGCAGAGGGGGGUGGAAUUCCACGUGUAGCAGUGAAAUGCGUAGAGAUGUGGAGGAACACCGAUGGCGAAGGCAGCCCCCUGGGCUAACACUGACGCUCAUGCACGAAAGCGUGGGGAGCAAACAGG
rnacentral:rRNA from 1 species